GGUGAGGUGAGGGUCAGAGGUGAUGGUCAGAGAUGGGUGGAGGGUAGAGGGUGGUGUGGUACUGCGAUUACUGGACUUGUCAGCGCCUUACAGUGGGCAGUCCUCUCGUGGCUUUUCUGCCGGAGCUAGACUUGCUCAAUGACGUCAAUAAGCCCGCGGUGACAUGAUGAUGACAAGUCCGUGGAGGAUCGAGGGAGAGUACGAGGGAGAGUACGAGGGAGAGUACGAGUACCGUACGAGACACGAGUACCGUACGAGGGAGAGCACGAGACACGAGUACCGUACGAGGGAGAGCACGAGACACGAGUACCGUACGAGGGAGAGCACGAGACACGAGUACCGUACGAGACACGAGUACCGUACGAGAGAUGUGAAUGAGUGUAAGUGCGAGUACGCUCCAGUGAGACUACACAGACUACAGUAGAAUCGCUUCGCACUCGUCUCCGGUCUUAACCCAUACCUAGGAGUUCACUUCUGUAGCCCCAUUCUACCGGUACAGCAUCUUGAGACGGCCGAUCCAAACCUGGUGACUGCUUUCGGAGAUAUGACAGUAGAUCAUGGACUUGCAUCAGAAGAGCCAUCACUUGGUAAAGUCAACCGACCCCCAACUCUUAGAACAUAGGACCAAAGGAUGCGGCAGAAACAGCUGACAACGACAAAAGCCGGGUCACGUGACCGCAAAUCAUGAGGCAAUUGUCAACUUCAGGGUUGAAAAUUACUUUUUUUUUUCUUUUUUCCUGUUUUUCCUGUUUUUUCCCUUUUCGGAAGAAAGGAGUCGGCUUUUGAACACCACUGUGUUUUGAAAACGAAACAGGUAUAUAACAUGACAUUGAUUGUGGUUACAUGAUUCUUUUGUAUGUUUCAACUCCAGUAUUCCUCUCACCAGUCUGAUUCACUAUCAUGUUCCCACCUUCAGUUGAUCUCAUGGUCACUUGAACUUAUCUUCACCUCCACUGUCGGUAGAGGUAACGACUUUUGUAUAAAAUGAAAUUUUAUAUACCAAAAU
rnacentral:misc_RNA from 1 species